rnacentral:rRNA from 1 species
UACAGGGGGUGCAAACGUUGCUCGGAAUCAUUGGGCGUAAAGCGCACGUAGGCGGUUCGUUAUGUCGGAUGUGAAAGCCCUUGGCUUAACCGAGGAAGUGCAUCCGAAACUGCCGAGCUAGAGUACGAAAGAGGAUCGCGGAAUUCCCGGUGUAGAGGUGAAAUUCGUAGAUAUCGGGAGGAACACCGGUGGCGAAGGCGGCGAUCUGGGUCGAUACUGACGCUGAGGUGCGAAAGCGUGGGGAGCAAACAGG